GUCUUUGUGGAGUAAAGUAACUCCCUCCCUUCUAAAGAUAUGUUCUUUAUUUCAACGGGGGAGAGUCGGUGGUUCGAAUCCACCCGAAGACA